GUAACACCUCCUCAACCUGCCCUCGGGUCGAGAAUAAUCUCGGGAAACUGAGGCUAAUGAGCGAUAGGUCAAGAUUCCUGGAAUGGGUUUUGGUCUAAACGGCGUGACAGCAUCUUGUCGUGUCCGCCCGAGGAUGGGACUGCGGCCGAUCAGGCUGUUGGUGGGGUAAAGGCCCACCAAACCAGUAACCGGUACGGGCUUUGAGAGAAGGAGCCCGGAGAUGGACACUGAGACAAGGGUCCAGGUCCUACGGGGCGCAGCAGGCGCGAAACCUUCGCAAUGCGCGCAAGCGCGACGAGGUUAUUCCGAGUGAUUUCCGCUGAGGAAAUCUUUUCUUAGAUCUAAAAAGUCUGGGGAAUAAGGGGAGGGCAAGUCUGGUGUCAGCCGCCGCGGUAAUACCAGCUCCUCGAGUGGUCAGGGCGUUUAUUGGGCCUAAAGCAUCCGUAGCCUGCUCGGUAGGUCUCCUGUUAAAUCCAACGGCUCAACCGUUGGUCUGCAGGAGAUACCGCUGGGCU
rnacentral:rRNA from 1 species